rnacentral:rRNA from 1 species
UACGUAGGUGGCAAGCGUUGUCCGGAAUUAUUGGGCGUAAAGCGCGCGCAGGCGGUCCUUUAAGUCUGAUGUGAAAGCCCACGGCUCAACCGUGGAGGGUCAUUGGAAACUGGGGGACUUGAGUGCAGAAGAGGAGAGUGGAAUUCCACGUGUAGCGGUGAAAUGCGUAGAGAUGUGGAGGGACACCAGUGGCGAAGGCGACUCUCUGGUCUGUAACUGACGCUGAGGCGCGAAAGCGUGGGGAGCAAACAGG